CCUACGGGAGGCAGCAGUGAGGAAUAUUGGGCAAUGGGCGCGAGCCUGAACCAGCCAAGAAGCGUGAAGGAUGACUGCCCUACGGGUUGUAAACUUCUUUUAUAAAGGAAUAAACUGCGGCACGUGUGCCUUUUUGUAUGUACCUUAUGAAUAAGGAUCGGCUAACUCCGUUCCAGCAGCCGCGGUAAUACGGAGGGUCCGAGCGUUAUCCGGAUUUAUUGGGUUUAAAGGGAGCGUAGAUGGGUUGUUAAGUCAGUUGUGAAAGUUUGCGUCUCAACCGUAGAAUUGCAGUUGAUACUGGCAGGCUUGAGUACAGUUGAGGUAGGCGGAAUUCGUGGUGUAGCGGUGAAAUGCAUAGAUAUCACGAAGAACUCCGAUUGCGAAGGCAGCUUACUAAACUGCAACUGACAUUGAUGCUCGAAAGUGUGGGUAUCAAACAGGAUUAGAUACCCCUGUAGUC
rnacentral:rRNA from 1 species